GCCGCGGUAGCUCAUUUGGUAGAGCAUCGCACACGUAAUGCGAAGGUUGUGGGAUCGUUCCCCACUUGCGGCA
rnacentral:tRNA from 1 species